rnacentral:rRNA from 1 species
CCUACGGGGGGCUGCAGUGGGGAAUAUUGCACAAUGGGGGAAACCCUGAUGCAGCAACGCCGCGUGAGCGAUGAAGGCCUUCGGGUCGUAAAGCUCUGUCCUAAGGGAAGAAUACUGACGGUACCUUAGGAGGAAGCCCCGGCUAACUACGUGCCAGCAGCCGCGGUAAAACGGAGGGGGCUAGCGUUAUCCGGAAUUACGGGGCGUAAAGGGUGCGUAGGCGGCCCUUCAAGUCAGGGGUGAAAGGCAACGGCUAAACCGUAGUAGGCCUUUGGAACGGUAGGGCUUGAGUGCAGGGGAGGAGAGUGGAAGUCCCAGUGUAGCGGUGAAAUGCGUAGAUAUUGGGAGGAACACCAGUUGCGAAGGCGGCUCUCUGGACUGUAACUGACGCUGAGGCACGAAAGCGUAGGGAGCGAACAGUAUUAGAUACCCGAGUAGUC